rnacentral:tRNA from 1 species
GGGGGUAGCGAAGUGGCUAAACGCGGCGGACUGUAAAUCCUCCUUCGUUCGGCAGUUCGAAUCUGCCCCUCCACCA